rnacentral:rRNA from 1 species
GAUGAACGCUGGCGGCGUGCCUAAUACAUGCAAGUCGAGCGACAAGACGAUGAGCUUGCUCCUCUGCCGUUAGCGGCGGACGGGUGAGUAACACGUGGAUAACCUACCUAUAAGACUGGGAUAACUUCGGGAAACCGGAUCUACUACCGCCUCAUAUAUUGAACCGCAUGGUUCAAUAGUGAAACACGGUUUUGCUGUCUCUUAUAGAUGGAUCCGCGCCGCAUUAGCUAGUUGGUAAGGUAACGGCUUACCAAGGCAACGAUGCGUAGCCGACCUGAGAGGGUGAUCGGCCACACUGGAACUGAGACACGGUCCAGACUCCUACGGGAGGCAGCAGUAGGGAAUCUUCCGCAAUGGGCGAAAGCCUGACGGAGCAACGCCGCGUGGGUGAUGAAGGUCUUCGGAUCGUAAAACUCUGUUAUUAGGGAAGAACAAAUGUGUAAGUAACUAUGCACGUCUUGACGGUACCUAAACAGAAAGCAACGGCUAACUACGUG